rnacentral:rRNA from 1 species
CAGCAGCCGCGGUAAUACAUAGGGUGCAAGCGUUAAUCGGAAUUACUGGGCGUAAAGCGCGCGUAGGUGGUUUGUUAAGUUGGAUGUGAAAUCCCCGGGCUCAACCUGGGAACUGCAUCCAAAACUGGCAAGCUAGAGUAUGGUAGAGGGUGGUGGAAUUUCCUGUGUAGCGGUGAAAUGCGUAGAUAUAGGAAGGAACACCAGUGGCGAAGGCGACCACCUGGACUGAUACUGACACUGAGGUGCGAAAGCGUGGGGAGCAAACAGGAUUAGAUACCCGAGUAGUCCCUGUCUCUUAUAC